rnacentral:lncRNA from 1 species
GUGAAUUUUUUGUCAUGGAUUGAUAAAUUUUGUUUGGCGAUGCUCACAAACGGAGUUUGCUAGCAUUUGGCUGAAUUUAUCACAGUUGGCGUCUGGUAGCCCAGUUGCCAUUUGGAGAAAACAUAUGAUGGUUGCCCUUCAAUGUUUUUAUCUUGGACAUUAAUGAGAAAUUGUCGAUGAAUGCAAAUUCGUUGGCCGGUUGAUACAUAGUUGAACUGUCCUAAUAAAUCCAUGACAAAAAAUUGCCAAAAUUCAAACUUACUAUUUGUUGUUUUUUUUUAUGAUCAUAUAUUAGUUUGUCUUACAAUUUGUUCACAUUUGUAUAACGAAGGUAAUCUGGAGUCGUUGGAAAUAUUACGAGGGAUUUCAACGAAUUUGGGUUAUCUUUUAUCUGGUAUAUCGUAUUCCUAAAUUGACUUCUGUUGGUUUCUUUCGAAUAUUUAAUAAUAAGAUUUAAUCAUUCAGCAUUAAAUCAAUUUAAUAAAUUGAGAGUAUCGUCUGCUAAACUAGAGUUAACUUUCUUUAAUUUUGACGGACUUAAGCGUCUUUUGUUAACCUACAUUUUUCAUAAGCGGUUUUCCCGCUUUUAUUUGGUAUAAAAUUGCAUGCUUUUCGUGAUUUGAACUCUGAAAGAACACAAAAACCCACCCUAUCCCACCCUUUAGAAUAUUUUUUCUGCUGUUUGUUGUAUAUUUUCAGAUAUUGCCAAAAGAAGCGUCAUGGAUUGGACAGAAUGUUUACUGAAUACAUAGUUUUACUGAAGGGCUGAAUUUAUCACAGUUGGCGUCUGGUAGCCCAGUUGCCAUUUGGAGAAAACAUAUGAUGGUUGCCCUUCAAUGUUUUUAUCUUGGACAUUAAUGAGAAAUUGUCGAUGAAUGCAAAUUCGUUGGCCGGUUGAUACAUAGUUGAACUGUCCUAAUAAAUCCAUGACAAAAAAUUGCCAAAAUUCAAACUUACUAUUUGUUUUGUUUUUAUUAUGAUCAUAUAUUAGUUUGUCUUACAAUUUGUUCACAUUUGUAUAACGAAGGUAAUCUGGAGUCGUUGGAAAUAUUACGAGGGAUUUCAACGAAUUUGGGUUAUCUUUUAUCUGGUAUAUCGUAUUCCUAAAUUGACUUCUGUUGGUUUCUUUCGAAUAUUUAAU